ACUCCAGUAUUCUUGCCUGGAGAAUUCUAUGGACAGAGGAGCCUGGCAGGCUCCAGUCCAUGGGGUCACCAAAGAGUCAGACACAAGAAACUUGGCACACACGCAAACACGCUUGCAAGGUAUUAGAUCAGCAACUCAUGGCCCCUCUCUCAUUGACUUAUUUAUACCUAAGAAAGACUGAGAGUUGGAAAUUGAACUAAAGUUGGUUCAGCUGAUUUAUAUUAUUUAGGAAACAUUCUUCUAUCCAGAUUUCCCAGGCUAGUCAGACCACCUGGGUUUGAAUCCUGUUUCUGUCGUCUUUACUUUCUUCUCUACAUAUCUGAGUCCAGUUUCAUUUCUACUCUUAGUUCCUAUUUGAGGACAGAGUAUUUCUUCUUCUGUUUACUUUUUCCUUUCCUUGAGGAAAUGGUGGUGGAGACAAAAGCCCUGUUGAGGCAAAAUACAGCCUGCGUGAGAAAACCUGGGUUAUUUUAUCUUUGCUGAAAGUUUAUUCUAGCUCAUAUCUCUUAUCUCUUUCCCAUAAGGAAAUGCCCUGAGACUUCAGAUUGUCUCCCCAUCUUAAAGUCCUGGAACUUUCACUUUCGUUGUAAACCUCAGCUCCGUGGUUCACUUUCUCUACCUCACCAGACUUUCUUGCAGCUAUUUCUAGUAAUGUACAGUCACAAAAUGAAACACAAAACCAAACUAGGUUGGUUUUUCUGCCAAUUAGUGUGAAUCUCAGAUAUUUGCUAUCUUUAUCAGUGUAGCUUGAGUUAGGUAGGUGGAUGAAAGGGCACAGUUAAGAAGUAAGCUCAUUCAUUCUUCUCUGCUUUGUUUCAGAAUAUUAUGCUCCUUUGUGUCCCUGUCUAUAUUUUAUUUCUCUCUCUCUCUCUCUCUUUUUAACUUUAGGAUAUGCCACUUUCAUUUUUUGAUUGCUAAAUUGGUGAAUUUUCUAGACCUUUUUUUUUUUUUAACAGGUACUAAGGGAGAAAAUGUGCAGUUUUAACUGACCAUCUGGACAUUUCCGAAAUCCCCCACAGCUGAAAGUUUUCCUCCAUCCUCAGUCAGCUUUUGAUCUGCUAAUAUAAUUAGAUACUAGAGCAGGGGUCCCCAAUCUCUAAUCUAAUGCCUGAUGAUCUGAGAUGGAGCUGAUGCAAUAAUAAUAGAAGUAAAGGGUACAAUAAAUGUCAUAUGCUUGAAUCAUCCCCCCUACCCUGGUCAGUGGAAAAAUUGUCUUCCACAAAACUGGACCCUGGUGCCAAAAAGAUUGGGAACCGCUGUUCUAGAGACUGUUCUCAGAUGUCUGAACCUGAGAGUUCCCUGACACCUCCACGCCUCAUUGGUUAAGUGCUACCACCAGGCCUCCGCUGUUUUGGAUUCCUGUCAAUCCAGAUAAUGUUAAGGAACCCAGUCCCGCAGCAGCAUCUCUUCACUGUCACCUGUAAUGGAUAACUGCCACUGGGCUUCUUGGAGAUGUCAAUGGUACCCUCACCACCGACUUUCUUACUGCCUUUGAGAUGGGUGCACCCACCGGACUCUUGCAGAGAACACAGUCAGAUGGCAUAGGUUUUGAGCUGGUCGUCACUCUGGGUGCCUGGAGCUUUGUCCUGAUGAGAGCCUUUGGAGAGCUGUGUACAUUGUCCCUCGGAAUUGUCAGGAGUGCCUGACGUGGAGGAGCUGAUGAUGGAUUCUCUGGCUCUACCCUUCAGUGUCAGCUCCUUCCACCCCCUAGUCUGUGCCUGUGCUAAAAUAGCUGGCUGGGCUUCUGUAGGCAUCCCAGGUGGUGGCGGCGGAGAGUUCCUACUGCAGUAGCAAGAGAUGUCCCAAGCACUUGACACAGACCGUGGCAGAGCAGAGUUGGCUCCAGCAGAAAUGGCUGGAGCAAAGUGGUAAGCCAAGAAAGUAUGAAGAAUGAAUGAAUGUGUCUACAUUCAUGUACAUCUGACUUAUUGUGAUGAUCAGACUAUACCAGGAUUAUUUCUCUGUGUCCUGUCACAAAUGCUAGAUGCUAAGUACUUUAAAAAUAGGAACAUGGGAUAAAUUGGUAUUGUGUGUCUCCUGAAAUGAUGCGCUGAGAAGCCAAUGUCACUCCUGUGAUAUUCCCACCAAAAGUCAUAUCCUGAAUCUAAUCAUGAAGCAGAAACAUCUGACAAACCCAAAGUGAGGGACAUUCUACAAAAUAUACGGCCUUUACUCCUUAAAGAUGUCAUUGUCAUAAAGGACAAAGGAAGAGUGAGGAAUUAUUCUGAGUUAAAUAAAAAUUGAAUGCAAUAUGUGACCCAGAAUCUUAUGUUGCAUUAGCAGACAACAUAUGUUGCUGCUGGAACAACUGGCAAGAUUUGAAUACAAUCUGUAUAGUAGACAGUACUUUUGUAUCAAUGUUACCUUCCUGAUUUUAAUCAUUGCCUUAUGAUUGUAUAAAAGAAUGUUCUUGUUUUUAGGAAAUUUAUGCUGAAAUAUUUAAGUAUAAUGGAACGUUAUGACAAAGUCUCAAGGAGAAAAUAAUAAAAUAACAUGUUUGGGGAAUCUGGGUAAAGGAUAUGUAGCAAUUUUGUAUUCAGUUACCGCAGCAAAGAUCUGAAAUUAUGUCAAAACAAAGAAUUUUAAUUUUAAAC